rnacentral:lncRNA from 1 species
UUUUUUUUUUUUUUUUUUUUUUUUUUUUUUUGUGGCGGGGAAAAAAGAAGAAGUGUAAUUUGGGUUUAGGGUUAAGAAGGGAUGGUAUUUGAUUACAUAUAUGUAGAGUUGAGUUUCCUUGUAAGUUGGUGUGUGGCUCUAUCUUGUACGGGUCUACUGGUUGCAUAAAGUGGAGAAAAAGCAUUUUGGCUAGAGGUGGCUGUGUCUCUAACUAGUUGUUUCUUUGUUUGGGGACCCUUUUAAUCUAUCAAAAGACCCUCUGCAUCUUUCCUUAUCCUCUCUUGUGGAUGAUCGAUAAGAGCAUUUCCAGCAGACUAGUUAAUUUGUUUUCGAGUAAAAAACCGAUCAAUCUUUUAUUUCACCUCGCAACAUUUAUUAGCUAAACUCCAUUUUUAUUAAGAAGCCUGUCUAUCUUUUGCUCGGGUUAAGAGCAUUUCUAGCAAACUAACUAAACUUCCUUUUGAGUUAGGAAUCAAUCGAUCUUUGGCUCAAGUUAAGAAUAUUUUUAACAAACUAGUUAAACUCUCUUUUGAGUCAGGAAUCGAUCGAUCUUUGACUCAUGUCAAGAGUAUUUUUAACACACUAGCUAAACUCUCUUUUGAGUGAGAAAUCAAUCGAUCUUUGACUCAUGUCAAGAGUAUAUCUAACAAACUAGUUAAAAUUCAUUAUAAAUAAACAAUCAUUCACUCUGAAAGUUUACUCAGAACGUCUCCAUAAAACUAACUAAACUUACUUGGAAGUCAAAACACUCCUUCCAUAAACUAGCUGUCAAUGGACUUAAAAUAACUGAAAUUAGUUAAAUCAAAUUUAUGAAAUUAAAUUAAAGGUACACAGAGUGUGUCAUCAAAUAGGAAUACCACCAUAUUUCGUUUCAUUACUUUUUUUUUUCUUUCUAUUUUUGGUGGUUAACAAUUAAGAAGAUUGUGGCAAGUAAAAGUGCAUUCGAAUAUAAAGUUGAGAAAUGUCAAGGGAACUAUUUUAAAAGUAAGAUUCUUUAUGAACUUUCUAUCAUCUCAUGUUUAAAACAUAAGGUUUUACAAUAUUAACACAUAAUUAACAUUAAACUGUAAAAUGUCAUAUAGUCCGUAAAGAGCCAUAUUUUUAAGAGUUCUGUUAGCAUUCCUCGUAUAAGGUUUGCAUGUCUUAAUCCAUCAGUUUUGACAUUGCACGCCAAAGCCCACGAAUUAUCUUCAUGGGAAGAAGCGAGGAUAAUAGUGUUGAUCACAUGGAUCCUAAAUUGUCCACUCCUAAGCCAUACCACAUAUUUGGCACGUCCAAACGCUUGCAUGUCAAUUGUUAGGUGGGAUUAGACGCCAAUCACAACUUAGAGGAAGACUACAAUCCUAGCUAUGCCAUAUGCCGUGCUAUUUCAUUUUGGACUUGUAUAUUUGUGUCCAUGGAACAACAUUAUACACUCCACUCUCGUGUCUUCAGACUACCAUAAUAUUUCUUCGCAAUAAUUCUAUUUGGACAUCCGAUCACGUUUAAUAAUGGUUAGCUAUAUUAUUGUAGAUAAGAGCUACGCAUGUUAUUUUCUUGUGGUUAAAUAGUACUACUCUUGUUAAACGACAAUGAAGAUCGGACAAUACUUUCCUCUUUCCCAGUAAGGAGGUAAGAUCUCCUUCCUCCUAACACGAUAUCAUUUCAUUACUGAUGUCAUAACCAGAACGGUUUAUUAUCUCUAUUAUACUUUAAAGAUCAUUUCCAGAAAAAUUCAUUUAAUUUGAAGAUUGUUUACUCAUUCAUCUUAAUCAAAGAAAUUGAAUUCAGAUUCUUUGCUACUGUCAAAACAGGACUAGUAUUUUAGGAUUUUUUGAUAUUUUAUUAUUUGUUUAAUUCCUUUCCAAUUUCAAUUCUUAAGGUUUCCAGGGUUAAGUUACAUAAUAAAUAUGUCAUAUUGGCCUUAGGUUUGUAUUCAUUCAUAAUAUUAUCAAUUAGAAUUAGAGAUAUCUCUAUUUUCUGGUGGAUUCUGGAUUGUUAAUAGACUUCAGUUUAUUCGCUAGUAAAUUAUAGCAUGAAAUUUUGUAACAUCCCACAUCACACAUGGAAGUGGAUCUUGUAAGCCUUAUAUGUAUAUUCUCAUAUCUACCUAGCACGAGGUCUUUUGGGAGCUCACUGGCUUCGGGUUCCAUCGGAACUCCAAAGUUAAGCGAGUUCGCGCGAGAGCAAUCCUUGGAUUUGUGACCCACUGAGAAGUUCUCAUAUGAGUUCCCAGAAACAAAACUGUGAGGGUGUGGUCGAGGCCCAAAGCGGACAAUAUCGUGAUACGGUGGAGUCGAGCCCGGGAUAUGGUGUGGUCCGUGCCAGGAUGUGACAAAUUUCGUUCAAUUUCUCUUGUUAUAUAUCUAGUUGCGUCAGUUCAACACGAGGAUGCUACUUAUUAAAUCGAUUUGUUUUACACAUAUGAAUGGUCAUAUGAACUCUAAUUCAAAUUAAUUUGUAAGGAAUGAGUAUUAGAAGAUGGUAAAGGAAAUCAACAAUUUCAAUGAUGAUGUUUACACGAUAAAGCGAUGACGCGAUAGAAAAAUGAGGAAAGUAUUGUUCGUGAAAAUAUUAUGCACACACAUAUGGAAGUUGUUAAUCCUAUAUUAUAUUAUUUGUAACACAAACGAAUUGAACUACACUUUCAUACUUGCGAAGAUUAGUUGGAGAAAUAUUGUUGAGGUUAUCAAAAGAAGUGCUUUGAGGCUUUUGGAAUAUACUGGCAUUGAGUUUUACCUUUCUGCUGUUUACGCCUAGCUAAAAGUAGAAAAGCACUCUCUCUUUUUCUUUCUACGAUGCUAACCAAACGCUGUCUUAUUAUUCUCUCUUAAAAAAUAAGGAGAAAUGCUUAGGAAACUUUUUUAGAGCAAGAUUCUUUGUGGAUUCUCUGACUUUAACAUCAAUUUCAUAUCAAUAUUAUAAAACAUAAUACUAAAAACAUAGGGGGUGUAGAUUCAAUAAAGAGUCUAGAGUCUCUUUACCAUUUCUCAAAGAAAUGGUUUUCAUGCCAGACAGGUAGUAUAGUAAAGUUUUGAUGAUACAGAGAACAUUUUAAUCCAUGGGAUAAUAUUGUUUAAAAUAGUUCAUUAUGUGAAUACCUUUAAAGGUAACAGAUUAAUUUAUGUUAAAUACUGACGUUCUAACAUAUGAUUGGCUUUGAAAUUAACUUGGGAGAUGAAAUCAAAUUAAUUAAAUAAAUAAUAUAAUGGAAAAUUAAACCCUGGAAGUGAUGAAAUCUCAGAAGCAUGCUUUGAAGUUAAUGAUGAGGACCAUGGGGGCUUGGGGUUCACAAAGGAAUGAAAGCAAAGGGGGACAGAGAUCGACGUGAUAAUCUCACAACUCUCUUUGAAAUCCAAAACUCCAAACACCAUGCCUUCACUGCACGCACUGCAAUGGAGAUUUUUUGUUUUCUAAGUGCAAGAAGCUCUUGUAUUUACCAUCAGUUUUAACUCUUUCUCCAUGCAUUUGCUUUCGCCUUAUCUCUCACAAGAAGCAAACAACAACCCCCCAUUUUUCUUGAACUUGAAUCACAUAAAUUUCUUAAAUUCAUCAUUUCUUCACUCCCCAAAUUGCGUUCUCUAUUCGAUAAAUUAGCAAUUGGUGUCACAAAGACAAAAAAUGGAUUAAUCCUAAAUAUCGAAACUAGCUUCGGACAAGCUCACGAAGAAAAAAAUAGCUGACUUCUAUUAGUCAAGUUAACUGGAGCAGUAUUCUUUCUCUUUGUAUCUAAAUUCGAAUUUCCUACAAAUAAUUUGGGGUAAGUUAUAAUUUUGUGUUUGUCAAGAGAGAAUAAAAAUAAUAGAGAAACGAAAGAAUUGGUUUUCUCCUUUGGCAUGGUGUUUUUGUUGUUCUAUUCGACUAUUUUUCGUUUUAUAGAUGAUUUUGAUGUAAUGUUGAAGUUUACCAAAAUUUAUUUAUUUUUAUUAAAAAAAUGAAAGAAUUGACCAAACUCUGUAUUUUUGGGCAGAUUGAGUAAUGUUUUUGGCUUCCUAUGCAAAUCUCGUCUUGGUUCCAAAUCUUUGUGUGAUCAAACCAAGAAAUAUAUGAGAUUGGAAGUACCACUCAGCGUAGAGGGACAACGGAGUUUGUGAAAGAUCAUGCAUGUUUCUCUCCUUUUGAGUCAUGGACCUUUUUUUCUUCUUUUCAUCAAAGAAAUAAUGAGUAGUCAUGGAUAAAGCUGUUUGAUAACCAUUUUGUUUUCAGUUUUCAUUUUUUUGAAGAGGAUUAGUAAUGCUAUGAAUACUAAAUUUGUAGGUAAAAUUUUAUAAACUAAAUGAUAUGGAAGUUAAUGAUUGGAUUAUGACUUAAUUGUUGAUGAACGUGACUAUAAUAGGACACAUCCUUUGAUUUGCAAAUUUUGUCUUCCUAACGUUACUGUUUUAAAAAAAUGAAAACGGCGUACUUUCUUUAGAUUCAAAAUUUUAGCCUUUGAGUUUUCACUUUUCACUUUUUUGAAAACUGAAAGUAGUUAACAAACUAGAUGUUAAAUACUUUUAGUUUUCAAAAAAGUGAAAAUGAAAUGGUUAUCAAACGGCACCUAAAUUAAUUUUUUUUCACAAGCCACAUAAGAAUUAGAUUAGUUGGUCAAAUAGUAUGCUGUUUUGUUAAUCCAAAGUUUGAAUCAGCUUCCUUGUAGAUAAAAGUAGAAUAUCCCUUCGUCAAAACGAUCUUUUUUCACAAGAGUAAAUCAAGGAAUAGAUUAAGGAGACUGGUUUAGAAUUCGCCAUCCAAAUGGUGAAUGAAAUAAUGAGGUAAACAGUCAUCAAAACAUGAAUAGUGAAUAAACGUUAAUGCAGAUGACAUACUGAUUAGUAAGCAGAAAGAGCGGUCUGAUUAGGAUGGCGCAUGUUAAUUAGUUGGAAACUUGGGAAAGAUGGCAGACAGAAGCACAAGGCUAAAGCCUUAAUUAAGUGCAUAAACAAAUGUGAUUAAGUGCAAUGUUUGAAUUGGAGUCCUCGUGAGAGUUUAAGAAAACCUUUUUUGUGAGUGAAAGGCAAUAUUUAAGAGAUAAAGUCUGAUAAUAAAGCUCCUUUGGUGCAAGGCUGCAAUGCCAAAGAAGAAAAUAUUUAAAGUAAAUUGGUAUGGAUCCUUAUCGAUGGUGGACACUUCCAUUUUACCAAAGAGAAGAAAGAUGGUGGAUACAUUUCUAAUUAAGUGGCUUUAAUUUGUUGGAAAUUGGGACAUAUAUGUCAUGUGGAUUCACGUUGAACUUGUGGACGGCAAAAUUUGACUUUGGCUUAAGCUUUUAGGGUACUUAUAGGGAGACUAGGGAGAUUAAUUUAGGUAAAUGCAUACGUCGCUCAUCAUUACAUAAAAAUAAUUUUAUUUUAAUGGAUGAAAAAGCCUUAAAACACAGGCAUGUGUUUCACAAAAAGUCUCUGAAAAAAAAGCCAUUUGUCCAUCAAUUAUUUGCAAAAAAGAAACAAUUUUACAAAAUUGAAAGGGUAUGAAAUUAGUUUUUUCAGUGAUAGAUUACAUAUAUAUGUGUUUGGUAUUUGUAUAAAUUAAAGCCUCAUAAUUAGGGAAAGCAGGCAUAUAUCUCUUAUCUUUUGGACUAGUGGAUAAACAAAUCAACUAACACAGUGUUUUGCACUUUAAUUAGGGUUUGUCUAGGGCACCUACUAUUGCGUGAUCGCACCAUUAAGUGGAAAAAAAAUUCAUUGUGGAGGAACAUAGCCUAAUAUACUAAGUAUCACAAUACAAAUGAUUGGAGUUGUUUUUAUUCGAGUAUCAAAUUAUUUGUAUUAUAAUAUUUAAAUAUAUUAAAUUAUGUUCUCAGCACAUUAAAAAUCUCUCUAUCAAGCAGGGUUUGAUAAGUAGUUAACUAAAAACCUGUAGAAUAGAGGAUGCUUCGCUGGUACAUAUCCAUUGGGCCACAAAACUGAAGAUUGGUCCAUGUGUUUAGCCACCCAAAGGCCUCUGUGUAGAGGCUCGAGGCAAAGCGGCAAACCAACCUUGGAACCCAUUUUUCACCAAGGAAAUGAUUUAUGCACUAUCGUUUCUUUUCUUUGCAUUUUUUCUUUUGUUUUUGUCCUUCAAGUGUCUUUUGAUAUAUUCAAUCUAACAAUUUUUGAACAAACUGAAUCUAACAGUUAUAAUAAGAAAAGGGUGACGUGCGAGAAAAAGAAGGUGCAUAAACCGUUUUCAUUUCCAUUUACGUAUCUAUUUAGGAAUUAAUUAUUAAACCCUAAACUCUAACUCAUGAUUAUGUCUUGCAGUAGGGAGGACCUCUGCUCGUAUAUAUUUCCAGAUCUGUUCCUCACCCUGAUAAUACGAUUAUAAUAGCCACACUUAUACAAGAGGCCAUCACAUUCAUACCAAAUAAACACGAAAACAUGCACGCAUGCAAUUCAUCACUUUGCAAUAACCAUUCCCAAAAAAAACAGAAACAGUAACUCUCUAACCCUGCUUAAUUAAAAACCCUGCUAGACAAACGUACACAAUGUAGAAACUCAGAUAGUUUAAUGGGACAUCAACAUGGCAUAACUUGCAGGUAUACUGUCACUAGUACGUAAUGGCCAAUGCCAUAAUUCCGUAAAAUUCAUCCCUCGAAAUCUUCAGGGUGGCCUUUCGGUCCUUCUGUCUUAUUUCUAGGUUUCACCUAUAUAUAACCAAAUUCAGAAUUAAACCAGAGCUAGUACUGUCGAUUAAUUAUUGACUCUCUUAUUUCUACGUUCACCUUUUGUUUAAUUACUUUUAAAUAUUUGUUGGUCAAAUUGGAUUAAAAUUGAUCGAAUUAUACCAGAAGUGUGGUGGGUGCAAGUUCAACUGGAUGGGAUGCUGUUAGCUCCUUGAGUUGCAGCUGCAUCUUACUCAUGAAAUCCAUCGACUUUUCCUAAGUUUCCUCCGUUGCUUCUUUCAGUUUCACAUGUGCCGAGCAAUAUACUUCCUGGAGAGGCAUAUUAAUCCUAUCUCGUAGUUAUGCUGCUUUAGCUAUGGCGGUGGUCUCCUGUGGUAAACGGCGGCGGUUCCUCAUGGCACGUAUGAGGGUUAGGGUUUGUCCUUAUGCUGUUUGGUUGGACCAUUAAUGAAGCAUUUCAUUUCCUUUUCCGACCAAAGAUAUGAAAAGAUAUGUCUGCAAUUAUUUUGUUCAUUGCUAUACAUGCAGUGUGUAGCCAUUAAUUAAUUAAUUAUUACGUACGUACCUGAGCAUGCAUGCGAUGAGGUGCUCAGCAAUGAGAGCGAUGUAACGUAGAAAUGCAUAUGUGUGUGUGUGUGUGUGUGUGUGUGUAUGAGCUCCAUUUCUACACGCUUAAAGCUUCAAUGAUAGUACGUACAAAAUACAGGUGUGGUGGCCGGCUGAGGAAACAUAGAAAGCAUUUAAGACAAGAAGCGUAUCCAAAUGGAGAUGGAGAUAGCUAGGGUAGGCGUAGGCUUACUCUGAAUCUCUCUGAUUGCUUCAUCAAGUACGGAGGACGAAUAUAUGACAAAAACAGUUCCUGGGAGGCUGGGACGUCGUCUCUGGAGGAGUCAAGUGUGGAUCUAAUUUAUUCAGAUUCUGAUCACCCUGCAACUGCAAACACAGUUACUUACAGAGUCGUCUAUAUCUACACACACACACACACACACACACACACUCUUCUAUAUAGCUAGGCAACAGGGCAGGGGCCUGAAAUGCAAGGGAAGUAUUUGAAGCCAGCCCAGCAAAGCAUUGGGUUGGAUUUCAAGAAAUUGGCUUACGGUGGAACUUUUAUUUUUUACUUUGACAUUCUCUAUUGAAGAAAGCUAAAGUUCUGCCCAAAAUUAAUGAACAAGUAACGAACGGAGUAACCUAACUUUAGCUAUAUAAGUUCAUGCAAGGAUUUCGUUUAUCAAAAUAAUUUUACGUUAUAGACCAUAGACGUUCAUGAUUCCCCUCUAUACCCUGCUGUAAUGAUUCCUCUAGCAUUAUGAUUUUCACCACAAUAAUGGAUAGAAUUUUUUUAUAAAUAUGCAUGCUAUUUAGUAUUUUGAUUUAAGCUCAUAUCACUAUGAGAGUUUUCUGGUUCGACAAUAACGUGUUAGAUAAUCAAUAUCGAUUGUAUCGAAAAAGGUGAAAUGGUAGUCCAGUUGAAGCGUAAUGAAUAUACAUAUGUAAUCGUUGUGUCUUAUAUUCGUUCUGAUUCUCUUCUACCCUUAAUUUCUCGGGAGUUCCUGUUCAUAGCUAAUUAGCAUAAACAUAAAGGAGCAAUAUAUAUAACAUUUCCUGGGCAGGCAUGAAGGAGGAAUUAACUGAUGAAGCAUUGUUACAAAGUAGAUGCAAAUGUACAACCACGUUUAUUAUAAUCCAUUGUAUAUAACUUUUCCUGCAAAUUAAUGGGUACAUAAAUAAUACAAAGCAAGAAUCUAAGACAUGAAGAGCUUGCGACUUGACAUCAUACCCAGCAAGACAGAGAUGAAGUUAAAAAUCGUUCAAUCCUAAUUUAAGUACAUACAAUGGGAGUUUGUUAUACAUAUCUUAUCAACAGGAUUUUUCGGAGUAUUCUAUACUCCGGAGCACCAUGGAAAUUUAGAUCGUCAACAAACCAUCCCAACUUAUGAAAAAAACAUUAUGUUUAGAAUCUUACAACCACAACAACCAGCCCAUAUAUUAUGCAGGAACACGAAGUAAGCAUAGAACUUGAGGCACUCAU